rnacentral:lncRNA from 1 species
CUGGAUGGGAAACCUUCAGGAUUCGCGAAACAAAGAGGAUACAGAGAGACGGAUAUUUACAGACGAAUAUUUACAGAUAAUAUUAAUAGAUGAUAUUCAUAUAUAUACUUACAUAGAGACAGAGCCGACCAACGGAAGGAAAGCGUUUUGGUGUUUUUUGCCGGUCCUCUCCUCGUGAUGCGCCAAGACGAAACAAGGGAAGCACAGCCGUUUAGAUUUUGGAAAGAAGACUCACAGCGAUUUCGACAACCAGGGAAAGCUGAGAAAUUGCGACGUUAGUGUUGUAUAUGUAUACAUGAUUUCGGAGGAGAGUCCUGUUCCGUGCAGGUCCGCCCGAGGCGUGUGAUCCCCAGAACGACGCGUACGCGUGAGGAGCCGAUGGACGAUGGUGAUUCUUUUCAUUUCUUCCGAAAUCUAUUCAUCUUUUCGCGAACCCUCGCAAGAGUCGCCUUAAGGUGUUCAGCGAUGGAACGGUGAAUGCACUCCACCAUGGUAAUGGAAUACACGCGCGUGUUGUCACCUGCCGUAUGAAGGCGAGACUCACGCGCUUUUUGCGAGGCAAAACCGAACUGUGCUCCGUACCGGAGGAAGAAUCUCACUUUCGGAUUUUCCUAGGAACUUGCUAAACUGCAAAGACUCUCGUCUGUCGCAGGAGCACAAAGCGUUAACAGUCACCUAGAUGAAGUCACUCAAAUCGGUGUUGUGUUGGGCAGUUCACGACAGGGAAGAUUCCUGGGAUCAGGUGUGGUACGAGAAUGGAGAAGUGAAGGGAAAGGGGAGACAAAGGAGUGAUCAUGGAACGGGUGCUGCGCCGGCGGAAAAACGUUGCGCAAAGGCUAGAAAUGAAUAUCCGUGGACACAACGCAUUCGAGCGGAU